rnacentral:rRNA from 1 species
GUGGCGACCGGCGCACGGGUGCGUAACGCGUAUGCAACCUACCCAUAACAGGGGGAUAACACUGAGGAAUUGGUACUAAUACCCCAUAACAUCAGGACCGGCAUCGGUUCUGGUUGAAAACUCCGGUGGUUAUGGAUGGGCAUGCGUUGUAUUAGCUGGUUGGUGAGGUAACGGCUCACCAAGGCAACGAUACAUAGGGGGACUGAGAGGUUAACCCCCCACAUUGGUACUGAGACACGGACCAA